rnacentral:rRNA from 1 species
AUGCUGUUGCGGGCAGCAUGGGGGAAGACGCGGAUCAAGAACAUGCCGGAGCUCCUGGCUGGUGUGAGGACCGGCAUAGCCCUGUCCAGCGGCUUCAGUGUGCCGGACCUCUUCCAGACGUGGAGGCGCUCGGUGCUCGCCGCGGUCACGGGCAUGAAGCGAGGCCUCGAGAGCCUCCACAAGGCGGUUGACUCCGUGUUUGAGGAGGUCAUCGAGGAGAGGAUGUGCGCGCGCGCUGAGAAUGUCAAGACUGGCGCAGAGAACGUCGAUGAGAACCUCGUGGACGUGCUCAUCGGCAUGCAGGAGAAAGGCGACUCCGUCUUCCCUAUCGACAAACCAAGAAUCAAGGCCUUCCUUCUGGACACGUUGGCGGCUGGGACGGGGACGUCGGGGUCGGCAAUGGAGUGGACCAUGUCGGAGCUGAUUCGGAAUCCAAAGGUUAUGGCGAAGCUCCAGGAGCAGAUCCGGGAGGCGUUCCGGGGGAAAGCAGUGGUGACGGAGGGAGACAUGCAGGCAGCCGACAUCCGGUACCUAAAGCUGGUGAUGAAGGAGGCGCUCCGGCUGCACCCGCCGGCCCCGCUGCUGGUGGGCCGGGAGAGCAUUGACGUGUGCGAGGUGGACGGGUACACGAUCACGGCCAAGUCGCGCGUCCUCGUCAACGUGUGGGCGAUCAGCCAGGACCCCAAGUACUGGGACGCCCCCGAGGAGUUCAAGCCGGAGCGGUUCGAGAAGGGCGACAUCGACUUCAUGGGCAGCCACUACGAGUUCACCCCGUUCGGCGCCGGCCGGAGGAUGUGCCCUGGCAUUAGCUACGGCCUCGCCAGCAUGGAGCUCGCCCUCGUCUCCCUCCUCUACCACUUCGACUGGUCGCUGCCGGAGGGCGUCAGCGAGCUUGACAUGGGGGAGGCACCGGGACUCGGUGUGCGCCGCCGGUCGCCGCUGCUGCUCCGGGCCACCCCCGUCCUCCCGGCGGACUGCGCGGAAUAG